rnacentral:rRNA from 1 species
GAUGAACGCUGGCGGCGUGCCUAAUACAUGCAAGUCGAGCGAACGGACGAGAAGCUUGCUUCUCUGAUGUUAGCGGCGGACGGGUGAGUAACACGUGGAUAACCUACCUAUAAGACUGGGAUAACUUCGGGAAACCGGAGCUAAUACCGGAUAAUAUUUUGAACCGCAUGGUUCAAAAGUGAAAGACGGUCCUGCUGUCACUUAUAGAUGGAUCCGCGCUGCAUUAGCUAGUUGGUAAGGUAACGGCUUACCAAGGCAACGAUGCAUAGCCGACCUGAGAGCGUGAUCGGCCACACUCGAACUGAGACACGGUCCAGACUCCUACGGGAGGCAGCAGUAGGGAAUCUUCCGCAAUGGGCGAAAGCCUGACGGAGCAACGCCGCGUGAGUGAUGAAGGUCUUCGGAUCGUAAAACUCUGUUAUUAGGGAAGAACAUAUGUGUAAGUAACUGUGCACAUCUUGACGGUACCUAAUCAGAAAGCCACGGCUAACUACGUG